rnacentral:lncRNA from 1 species
CUGGAGUAUUGGGAAAAUGCGGAAAACGCCUUGUACUUACUCAGGAAUUUCAGUUGAUGUCAAGUGACUUGAUCGUCGAAAACGAGUACAGAAAAGGUGGAACAACAACUUCUGAAAUACAAACGAAAUAUUUAUCUAUUGGAGAGUACUUACCAACACCUGCAAGGACAAUUGUGAUCAGGAGAAUGAACCUAUACAAUAAAAGAAAAUAACACUUAGUUAAUUGUCCUACCAAUAGCAUGUCUUCCCAAAGAUUACAGGCGACUUGGAUUCCUGAAUCUGACCACUAUUAAACAGAGAUUAUUAUGCAAAAGCUUGUGGAAAUUGGAGAAUGCCGAAGGGCGAGUGAUAGGUGCCGGUGCGCCGGCCGAAAUUUCGACCGGUCGCACCGCAGACGUACGAUCUGAGUAGUUUUAGCCACAUGAUCUCUCCCAAAUGUUGCUUCAGAAAAAAAUAGAAAAGGAAAUCCAUGGCAAUUUGUCCACCGCGUCAAUGCCGUGAUCCUGGGAGAUGCCAGCGAGCUCGCCGUCCAUGCUCACCCGCUUGCCUCGCUGACGUUCGCCGCCCUCAUCGCCGGUGGUCGCCCUCGCCGCACCAACCUCGUCGAUUCUAGUAGGACGUGCCACCCCUUGUAGCAAAUCGCCGCCGCCCUGUAGCACGCCCGCCGUCUCUAUAGUUGCAGCACGUAGCCAUCCUGUUGUAGCACGUCCGUUCCAGCAGCCCCGGCGACCUUGCAGCGUGUCUCGCCGUGGGUGGCCGUCGCAACUCACAGUGGUGACCUAUCACAGAUCUAAAAAACAGCUUCGACUGUUGUAGCUUUGGAAUUGCUGGUUCCAGCAAAACUAGAUGUUGGUUGAAGCAAAAUUUCUCACCGGCUGUAUCAAAAAUUGCUUACCAAUCCCAAUGAAGAAAAAAUGUUUUGCAUCUCUGGAAACACGGGCUCCAGCAAAAAAAGAUACUGGUUGAAGUAAAACUGCUUGCUGGUUGUAUCAAAAAUGACUUGCCGAUCCCAACGAAGAAAAAUGCUUCCAUACUCACAUUCAUAAAAAAUCAUUGGUUCCAGCAAAAAAGCCUGAUGGUUCUAGCAAAAACAAUGGUUGGUUGAAGCAAACAAAAAAGUCAUGGGGCUCACAUUUCAUGGAGAUGGAUGUAGCAAAAAUUUACAAACACUGGUAGUAACAAAAACCAAAACGGUUGUAGCAAAAUUGUUCGCCGGUUCCAGCAAAAAUCAACGUGCUAGCAGAUUUUGGGUGGGUGGGUGGUAGCAAAAACAUGGGCUAGUUCCAGCAGAAACAAACAUGGUUGUAGCAAAAUCCUGCGGCGGUGGGCUGGCGGCCAUGGAGAGCAGCGCUCCAGCUGCGAACGGCCAUGGCGACCAGCGCUGGUUCGCACCGCAGCACAGUCGCGACGCCGGUGAGCCCCACGCAUCAUCUCCACUCACCGGGGGACGCGCCGCAUUAGUGCUUGGUGCUUUAGGCAUGCCGAUGCUAGGCGAUGCAUGCCUCGGGAUGAAUAUGUGCCAUGGCAUCAGGUCAGAGGGGGAAGGAUGCGUGGGUGGCCAUGGAUCAGUGGCUGGAAUAGUCGAGGGGAUAAACUGGCUGAGAGGUGGG